rnacentral:lncRNA from 10 species
AAAGCCACCUUUGGGAAAGGGCCUGUUUCAUGCCGCAAGUGUAGGAGUAUAAGUAGAAAAUAACAGGACAAAAAGCACAAAACAUAAGGCUCACAUUCGUUGUGCUUGUUAUGGUAGGAAGAGAUUGUGGCAAAACCUGGAAACACAGCCACGUUACCCAGGAGGCAAAAGGACUGCAGGGGAGAGAGCGUGAACAAGGAAGCUUGCCUGGCUUCCAAUUCUGCUCCGUUCCCACACUGGGACUCAGUUGGUUGCCAGUUACUGCGUGAAUUUUCUGGCGCUGGGACAAUGACCUUCCCUGCAUCCACAGGAGCCCUCUGAGGGAGCUGGCCACUCUGCCUCCUAGUCACCGUGAGGCUUGUUAUUAAGCUACUGUGUAUGUCUGUACCUUUUGUAACAUGGACCUGCUGUCCACAAGGUCUUCAGCAUUGCUUACAAACUGGCACGUAAACAUAAUACAUGCAAAACUUGCAUCCUUUGCAGUUCCAGGAAGAGAGAGAAUGGAAAUGUCCAGAGAUCUGUUCUUGAUUUUGUGUUUUUAUCAUGGACUUUGUCUACUGAGUACUAUUUUAAACAAGUUUUGGUUUUUGUUUCAUUUUUGAACCUUGAUCUAGAGCUUGAUGAAUAGAUUCCUGUUCUCUUCACUAAGUCUUGACGUGGAGUGGAGUUGAUAACUGACAGUGGCGUCUACCUAUUUCUGUUGAGAUAAAAAACAGGGAACUUGGUGUGCUUUUGUUUUAAAGUGUUCAUAUGAAGGGGAAAUAUGUGCAAGAAU